rnacentral:rRNA from 1 species
AGUGAACGCUGGCGGUAGGCCUAACACAUGCAAGUCGAACGGCAGCACAGUAAGAGCUUGCUCUUACGGGUGGCGAGUGGCGGACGGGUGAGGAAUACAUCGGAAUCUACUUUUUCGUGGGGGAUAACGUAGGGAAACUUGCGCUAAUACCGCAUACGACCUACGGGUGAAAGCAGGGGAUCUUCGGACCUUGCGCGAUUGAAUGAGCCGAUGUCGGAUUAGCUAGUUGGCGGGGUAAAGGCCCACCAAGGCGACGAUCCGUAGCUGGUCUGAGAGGAUGAUCAGCCACACUGGAACUGAGACACGGUCCAGACUGGUACGGGAGGGAGCAGUGGGGAAUAUUGGACAAUGGGCGCAAGCCUGAUCCAGCCAUACCGCGUGGGUGAAGAAGGCCUUCGGGUUGUAAAGCCCUUUUGUUGGGAAAGAAAAGCAGCAGGUUAAUACCCCGCUGUUCUGACGGUACCCAAAGAAUAAGCACCGGCUAACUUCGUG